rnacentral:rRNA from 1 species
UUCGUCUGAGUGAAAGUGAGGAAAGUGGCGGACGGGUGAGUAACGCGUGAGCAAUCUGCCUUGGAGUGGGGAAUAACGGCUGGAAACAGCCGCUAAUACCGCAUGAUGUGUCUGUCUCGCAUGGGGUGGACACCAAAGAUUUAUCGCUCUGAGAUGAGCUCGCGUCUGAUUAGCUAGUUGGCGGGGUAACGGCCCACCAAGGCGACGAUCAGUAGCCGGACUGAGAGGUUGGCCGGCCACAUUGGGACUGAGACACGGCCCAGACUCCUACGGGAGGCAGCAGUGGGGAAUAUUGGGCAAUGGGCGCAAGCCUGACC